rnacentral:rRNA from 1 species
UACGGAGGGUGCAAGCGUUAAUCGGAAUUACUGGGCGUAAAGCGUGCGCAGGCGGUUUGUUAAGUCUGCUGUGAAAUCCCCGAGCUCAACUUGGGAAUUGCAGUGGAUACUGGCAAGCUAGAGUAUGGUAGAGGAAGGUGGAAUUCCCGGUGUAGCAGUGAAAUGCGUAGAGAUCGGGAGGAACACCAGUGGCGAAGGCGGCUCGCUGGGCCGGUCCUGACGCUGAGACGCGAAGGCGUGGGGAGCGAACGGG